rnacentral:rRNA from 1 species
AGAGUUUGAUCAUGGCUCAGAACGAACGCUGGCGGCAGGCUUAACACAUGCAAGUCGAACGCGUGUAGCAAUACACGAGUGGCGCACGGGUGAGUAACGCGUGGAUAUCUGCCUUUUGGUUCGGAAUAACCCCGGGAAACUGGGGCUAAUACCGGAUGGUUCCUUCGGGAUAAAGAUUUAUCGCCAAAAGAUGAGUCCGCGUACGAUUAGCUAGUUGGUGAGGUAAUGGCUCACCAAGGCUACGACGGAUAGCCGGUCUGAGAGGAUGAUCGGCCACACUGGCACUGAGACACGGGCCAGACUCCUACGGGAGGCAGCAGUUAAGAAUCUUGCGCAAUGGGGGAAACCCUGACGCAGCGACGCCGCGUGAAGGAUGAAGGCUUUCGGGUUGUAAACUUCGGUAGACUGGGAAGAAGAACUACGUUCGUUGAGGGCGUAGAGUGACGGUACCAGUCUGAAGCCCCGGCUAAUUACGUGCCAGCAGCCGCGGUAAUACGUAUGGGGCAAGCGUUGUUCGGAAUUAUUGGGCGUAAAGGGCUCGCAGGUGGUUUGUUAAGUUGGUGGUUUAAUCUCUGGGCUCAACCCAGAGUCAGCCUCCAAAACUGACGAACUUGAGUAUGAUAGGGGAUAGCGGAAUUCUCGGUGUAGCGGUGGAAUGCGUAGAUAUCGAGAGGAACACCAAUGGCGAAGGCAGCUAUCUGGAUCGUAACUGACACUCAUGAGCGAAAGUGCGGGGAGCAAACAGGAUUAGAUACCCCGGUAGUCC